AUUGAACGCUGGCGGCAUGCUUUACACAUGCAAGUCGGACGGCAGCACAGAGAAGCUUGCUUCUUGGGUGGCGAGUGGCGAACGGGUGAGUAACAUAUCGGAACGUACCGAGCAGUGGGGGAUAACUAAUCGAAAGAUUAGCUAAUACCGCAUAUAUUCUGAGGAAGAAAGCAGGGGACCAUUUGGCCUUGCGCUGUUUGAGCGGCCGAUAUCUGAUUAGCUAGUUGGUGGGGUAAAGGCCUACCAAGGCGACGAUCAGUAGCGGGUCUGAGAGGAUGAUCCGCCACACUGGGACUGAGACACGGCCCAGACUCCUACGGGAGGCAGCAGUGGGGAAUUUUGGACAAUGGGCGCAAGCCUGAUCCAGCCAUGCCGCGUGUCUGAAGAAGGCCUUCGGGUUGUAAAGGACUUUUGUCAGGGAAGAAAAGGACAGGGUUAAUACC
rnacentral:rRNA from 1 species